GACGAACGCUGGCGGCGUGCUUAACACAUGCAAGUCGAGCGGUAAGGCCCUUUCGGGGGUACACGAGCGGCGAACGGGCGAGUAACACGUGGGUGACCUGCCCUCAGCUCUGGGAUAAGCCUGGGAAACCGGGUCUAAUACUGGAUAUGACUCCAUGACGCAUGUUGUGGGGUGGAAAGCCUUGUGCGGCUGAGGAUGGGCCCGCGGCCUAUCAGCUUGUUGGUGGGGUGANGGCCUACCAAGGCGACGACGGGUAGCCGGCCUGAGAGGGCGACCGGCCACACUGGGACUGAGACACUG
rnacentral:rRNA from 1 species